rnacentral:rRNA from 1 species
UACGAAGGGUGCAAGCGUUAAUCGGAAUUACUGGGCGUAAAGCGUACGUAGGCGGUCUUUUAAGCCCGAUGUGAAAGCCCUGGGCUCAACCUGGGAAUGGCACUGGAUACUGGAAGGCUAGAGUACGGUAGAGGAGGGUGGAAUUCCCGGUGUAGCGGUGAAAUGCGCAGAUAUCAGGAAGAACACCAAUGGCGAAGGCAGCUCUCUGGGACGGUACUGACGCUGAGACGCGAAAGCGUGGGGGAGCGAACAGG